rnacentral:rRNA from 3 species
GUUGGUGCUGAUUACGCUGAGGAACCACCUGUUCCCAUACCGAACACAGAAGUUAAGCUCAGUAGUGCCGAAGAUACUUGGCGGGAGACUGCCUGGGAAAAUAGGUGGGUGCCAAUU